rnacentral:misc_RNA from 1 species
GAUGAAGAACGCAGCGAAAUGCGAUAAGUAGUGUGAAUUGCAGAAUUCAGUGAAUCAUCGAAUCUUUGAACGCACAUUGCGCCCCUUGGUAUUCCGAGGGGCAUGCCUGUUCGAGCGUCAUUAUAACCCUCAAGCUCAGCUUGGUGUUGGGGCCUGCUGCAGUGGCAGCCCUUAAAAUCAGUGGCGGCGCCAUCUGGCUCUAAGCGUAGUAAUUCUUCUCGCUAUGGAGUCCUGGUGGAUGCUUGCCAUCAACCCCCAAUUUUUCUAUGGUUGACCUCGGAUCAGGUAGGGAUACCCGCUGAACUUAAGCAUAUCAAUAAGCGGAGGA